rnacentral:misc_RNA from 1 species
UAUAGCUUCCCUAAGACAAAUGGAUUAGGAUAUCUCAAUUGCUUUUUAGGCAAAUUGGAGGAGCUUUUACGUUCUAAGCUCGAUUUGAUAAUCGACUUAAAACAUCAGAUUGAAUCAGUCAAGGAGGGCUUAUUGUGCCUAAGAUCAUUCAUUGAUCAUUUUUCAGAAAGCUAUGAUGAGCAUGAUGAAGCUUGUGGUCUUAUAGCAAGA